GAUGAACGCUGGCGGCGUGCCUAAUACAUGCAAGUCGAGCGAACAGAUAAGGAGCUUGCUCCUUUGACGUUAGCGGCGGACGGGUGAGUAACACGUGGGUAACCUACCUAUAAGACUGGGAUAACUUCGGGAAACCGGAGCUAAUACCGGAUAACAUUUGGAACCGCAUGGUUCUAAAGUGAAAGAUGGUUUUGCUAUCACUUAUAGAUGGACCCGCGCCGUAUUAGCUAGUUGGUAAGGUAACGGCUUACCAAGGCAACGAUACGUAGCCGACCUGAGAGGGUGAUCGGCCACACUGGAACUGAGACACGGUCCAGACUCCUACGGGAGGCAGCAGUAGGGAAUCUUCCGCAGUGGGCGAAAGCCUGACGGAGCAACGCCGCGUGAGUGAUGAAGGGUUUCGGCUCGUAAAACUCUGUUAUUAGGGAAGAACAAAUGUGUAAGUAACUGUGCACGUCUUGACGGUACCUAAUCAGAAAGCCACGGCUAACUACGUG
rnacentral:rRNA from 1 species